CAAUUGAAGCACAGAACAUUGGGAUCAUUUUCCCACAAAUUACAGUCAGGGUUGGGUGAGGUUGUAGCAGUCCUGUUCCAGACAAUUGGGCUCACAUAAUUGAAAUCGCAAUCGUUGGAAGGUUUACAGCAACCAGACUGAAGAGCAGACAAAUUCUCCUGAUAGAACUGUUCAACAGUAUCCUUAAUAUACUUGUCAGCAAAGGUGGAACAGAUCUUCCCAUCAAUCAAGCAGCUCUUGAUUUUGUUCCAAUUCUUAGCAUUAUUGACCCUCUUCUGGAGCCAACCGGAGUAAUCUCCAAGUCUAUACUCCUUAUAACCCCGAUUGGACAAGACCUGACCGGCGCCUUUGUUGGUGACGACAAAAGCGAAAAUGGUGAAAGCAAAGAGAAUAACAAUAAGAACAAACAUUACAAGAAGGUAAACCCAUAGAAGCCAUGAAAUUCUACAGCAAGCACCGAGAAGACCGGCGAGAGAAAUCAACAAGAGAAAAACGCCGAUUAUGAUAAUGGGUUUGUCUAAGUACUUCUCGCAUUCGG
rnacentral:misc_RNA from 1 species